UGUGUGUGUGUGUGUGUAUGUGUGUCUGUGUGUGUGUGUGUGUGUCUGCGUGAACUCGGGCAUGUACGCACAUAGGUGCUGUCAAAUGGCACAAGCAUGCAUUUGGAAGGCAUACGGGCUGAAAAGGGUGGCUGAGCACCAUUAUAAAACAUGUUCUAAGACCAUACUAAAAGACCUCUGUAGAAAGAGGAGAAGGCCAAAAGGCAGUACCUGGCAGCACUUGAUCCACUGACUGGACUAAUUCUGUGAAAGUUCCAGACAUGUUUUCACAUAAUGGAUUAUACUGAUCAAAAGUAUUGU